AUAAUAUACCUACAAUUGAAUCUUGGGUGGGCGUGGUUUCCCUUCGAAAGGAGGUGAUGCCAUGGAAGUAAAAGACGCAUUAUCAAUCAUGUUUCUUUUUGGCAUGUUUAUUAUUGCUCAAUUGACAUACAUCAGCAGUACCCAUAAGAAAAAGUAAAAACCCACCCCAAGGUUGACCGCCAAAGGUGGGUUUUUGUCCUUUUGUAAGCUCAGAAGGGAAAUCCCAUCCAAGCCAAUUGUCGUGGCCAAGUGUUAGUCGCACUUGGU
rnacentral:sRNA from 1 species